UUUCAUUCUUAUUUUUACAUUUUUAAGUUUUAGAUAAAUGUAUCAUUAUAAUUUGACAAUAAACUAAAAAUUAAUAUUUUGUAUACAUAAACAUUUAUUUAAAAUGAUGUGGGAUCAUGGUGACCAUAUUUCUCAAAAGAUAUUAGAUUGAUUCAAUUUUUUUUUUUUUUUUUAAUAAUUUUUUUUUUGUUGAGAAGAAGAACGUAUCGUCCAUUAUAUAUUCGAGUCAGGAUGCGACAUUUAGGUGUGAAAACGGGGAUUUUGAGAUUUUUUUUCUGAUUUUUGAAUUAAACUUUGAAUGGUUCCCAUGGGUAACUAUUUAUUAUUAUUAUUGUUGUUUAAAGAUAUGUUAAGUUUUUUUUUAUGUUGCUAAAUAUAAAAUAAUUGAAAUAUUAUGGUGAAAAGAAAAAUUAUUGGAAAAUCAUCAUAUUCUUCGAUAAAAAACUAAAAGUACAAGGAAAAUAUAGAUGAAGAAAAAGCUGAAUCUCAAUAUGAUGAUGAUGAUGAUGUUAAUGUUGGUAUCACUAAAGUUUACAGUAGUGAACGAACCAAACAAAGAAAAACAAAGUUAGAACAAUUUUUAAAAAUGAAAGCAUUUUUUUGUAAUUCAGAAACUGACUAUGAAUUAGAAAGUAAUAUUUCAAUUGGUUAAAUAGAUAAUGAAUGUUAUUAUUGUAAAGCUUCAAAAUACAAGAAUGAAUACACUGGUUUAUGUUGUGUAAAUUGAAAAAUUAAACUACAAGUCUUAAAAAGUCUAGUUGAACCAUUAUUAUCAUAUUUAAUUGACAAUAUUUGUGAUUCAAAAGAAUUCAUGAAUAAUAUUCAUGUUUUCAAAUGACUUCAUUUGGAUCAAACAGAAAAAAAGAAAUAGGAUAUAACACAACAUUUAGAAUUGAAGGACAAAUAUAUCAUAGAAUAAGAUCUUUACUUUCAGUUGAUAAUAAUCCGUCUUUUUUAAAAAUAUAUUUUUUAGGCGAUAAUGAAUUAUAAGUACAGAGACGAUGUACGGUUGUUCCUAAAACCAAUAAAAAAAUAGUAUCUUCAUUACAAAAUGUCUUGCAUGAACAUAUUGUAUUAAUUAAUAUAUUUAAAAACUCAUUGGAAAAAAUGUAUUCAGAAGAACAUAAAAUUAUCCUUACAGCAGAUAAAUUACAUGCAGGAUAACAUGAAGGUCGUUACAAUUUACCGACAUCAAAAGAAGUAGCUGUGAUUAUUAGUGGAAACACAUACAAUAAUCGUGAUAUAAUAUUAGAGAAACGUAAUCAAGAUUUAAAAACUAUUUCUGAAAUCCACAAAUUAUAAGAUGCAUUACAAUAUCCUUUAAUGUUUUGGCAAGGUGAAGACGGAUAUCAUUAAUAGUUAUAACAAAUGCAUCACAAAUAAUAAUAAAUCCUGACAUCACUGAAGCGAAUAGUUGAAGUACAAAGAACUUACUGUAUCAAAAACCAUUACGUUUAGUUAUUCUAUAUUUUUGAAUUUGGAGAAAAAAAGUUUGACAAGUUGAAGUCACAUUUGGUUGAAAAAAUAUAAGUUUUACAACCUGUAAAUUUAAACGGGGAUGACAGAACGCAUUAACAAGAAAAAAAUAACCUUCAAAUUUGCAUUUUCUAUCGAAAUUCGAUAACCACUAUACAAGAGACAUAAUAAUAUGACACUUAAGUUAGAUAUGUAACGUUAAUUAGCUAUCACUUUUCGUGCAAUGUGUAUUUUUGUCAUUAUCGUCCACAUAAGUUUGUACUUAUUGAUUGUAUAUACUUUAUGGUAAUCACUAAACUACAUACAAAGAUAAAUGGGUAUAUUAGAAAUAUAGAAAUAAUGUAUACAAUAAAAUCGUGUUUCAUGAUAUAGCUGUUAAUCAUUUAUAGUUAUUUAAACCCACUGGACUGCUAAAACCUGUCGUUAUCUGUUAUUCAGAGUUCUCUGUUUAAGGGGCUGUGCAGUGACCAGAAAAUGUGUUCGUUAUUGAAAAGUGUCCUCUAAUUAGAUAUGUUAGUUAAAAUAGGUUUCCUGUAAAUAUAAUAUUGUUUUAGACAUAUUUGCAAAAAUUGAAUAAUAUUAUGGAUUUUGGUGUUUCGUUUGUUGAGGAGUAUUUUUAAAUUUCCAUUUAUAUAACUUUGUACACGUAUGAUCUCUUUAAAAUAAUAAUUUCUAUAUGACUAAUAACUAUGUAUUUGAAAUACACGCUACAAAAUUUUUCUUUGGUUUUAUUUUACGUUUUACUCAGUACAUAAUGCCUACCUGAAAGGUAAUCUCAAAUUGUAUAACAUUGGUGUAUUCCAAGUUCUUAAUAUAAUCAUCAUUGAUGUUCAAUUACAAAAUGAUAUAACUGUUGAAUAACCUGUUGUUUUCUGGUAAAUGGAUGAAAAACUUUUCUUUUAUAUUGUCUAUAAUGACAGCGUUAUUGGCUGGGAGAUGAGAAUGAUUUUUCGUUCACUAUGUUUUACUAUGUUUAAGGGGAUUUUAACGGGAAAGAGAAGUUUCUCUUCUAAGUACCUAUCACAGUUUAAUAGUGUGAUGUAAAUGUGUAAUGUAAAUUCAAGGAACCUUAUAGUUUAUACUUAUAUAUUUAAUUAAAAUAAUUAAAUUAAUUUUUAAGUAAUGAGGAGUACAUGAAAUAAACAUAAAAUAAAUUACUGACGAAAUAAAAUAAUGAAUUUUAACAAAAUGUGUUGUAAUUUAUCUAUGCAGUAUAAUUCGAUUAUUGUUUAUAUCAUUAGUUUUUGAAGUAAGUCUGAAUAAAUUAUACUUAGUAAGUUUGUGUAUAAUGUUUAUGGAUUAUGUAAUUUAUACUAUAACCAAUAUAAUAAACCUACGUACAUAACAUCGAAA